AGUGAACGCUGGCGGUAGGCCUAACACAUGCAAGUCGAACGGCAGCACAGUAAGAGCUUGCUCUUACGGGUGGCGAGUGGCGGACAGGUGAGGAAUACAUCGGAAUCUACUUUUUCGUGGGGGAUAACGUAGGGAAACUUACGCUAAUACCGCAUACGACCUACGGGUGAAAGCAGGGGAUCUUCGGACCUUGCGCGAUUGAAUGAGCCGAUGUCGGAUUAGCUAGUUGGCGGGGUAAAGGCCCACCAAGGCGACGAUCCGUAGCUGGUCUGAGAGGAUGAUCAGCCACACUGGAACUGAGACACGGUCCAGACCCCUACGGGAGGCAGCAGUGGGGAAUAUUGGACAAUGGGCGCAAGCCUGAUCCAGCCAUACCGCGUGGGUGAAGAAGGCCUUCGGGUUGUAAAGCCCUUUUGUUGGGAAAGAAAAGCAGCAGGUUAAUACCCCGCUGUUCUGACGGUACCCAAAGAAUAAGCACCGGCUAACUUCGUG
rnacentral:rRNA from 1 species